GAGUUUGAUCUUGGCUCAGAACGAACGUUGGCGGCGUGCUUAACACAUGCAAGUCGAACGAGAACGGUUCCUUCGGGAGCUUAGUAAAGUGGCGCACGGGUGAGUAACACGUAGAUAACCUGUCCAGGUGUUCGGGAUAGCCCUUCGAAAGGGGGGAUUAAUACCGGAUACGUUAGUCUGUUAUAAGGCAGAUUAAGAAAGGUGGCCUCUAUUUAUAAGCUAUCGCAUUUGGAGGGGUCUGCGUACCAUUAGUUUGUUGGUGGGUAAAGGCCUACCAAGACUUCGAUGGUUAGCGGGUCUGAGAGGAUGAUCCGUCACACUGGCACUGAAAACACGGGCCAGACUCCUACGGGAGGCAGCAGUGAGGAAUAUUGCGCAAUGGGGGAAACCCUGACGCAGCGACGCCGCGUGGGUGAGGAAGGCUUUCGGGUCGUAAAGCCCUGUCAGAAGGAAGAAAUGUGUAUAGGUUAAUAUCUUAUACAUUUGACGGUACCUUCAAAGGAAGCACCGGCUAACUCCGUGCCAGCCGCCGCGGUAAC
rnacentral:rRNA from 1 species